rnacentral:rRNA from 1 species
UUAAGCCUACGGGACGCAGCAGUAGGGAAUCUUCCACAAUGGACGAAAGUCUGAUGGAGCAACGCCGCGUGAGUGAAGAAGGGUUUCGGCUCGUAAAGCUCUGUUGGUAGUGAAGAAAGAUAGAGGUAGUAACUGGCCUUUAUUUGACGGUAAUUACUUAGAAAGUCACGGCUAACUAAGUGCCAGCAGCCGCGGUAAUACGUAGGGGGCAAGCGUUGUCCGGAUUUAUUGGGCGUAAAG